AGCAGUCGAGCGAAUGGAUUAAGAGCUUGCUCUUAUGAAGUUAGCGGCGGACGGGUGAGUAACACGUGGGUAACCUGCCCAUAAGACUGGGAUAACUCCGGGAAACCGGGGCUAAUACCGGAUAACAUUUUGAACCGCAUGGUUCGAAAUUGAAAGGCGGCUUCGGCUGUCACUUAUGGAUGGACCCGCGUCGCAUUAGCUAGUUGGUGAGGUAACGGCUCACCAAGGCAACGAUGCGUAGCCGACCUGAGAGGGUGAUCGGCCACACUGGGACUGAGACACGGCCCAGACUCCUACGGGAGGCAGCAGUAGGGAAUCUUCCGCAAUGGACGAAAGUCUGACGGAGCAACGCCGCGUGAGUGAUGAAGGCUUUCGGGUCGUAAAACUCUGUUGUUAGGGAAGAACAAGUGCUAGUUGAAUAAGCUGGCACCUUGACGGUACCUAACCAGAAAGCCACGGCUAACUACGUGCCAGCAGCCGCGGUAAUACUUAGGUGGCAAGCGUUAUCCGGAAUUAUUGGGCGUAAAGCG
rnacentral:rRNA from 1 species